UACGUAGGGUGCGAGCGUUGUCCGGAAUUAUUGGGCGUAAAGAGCUUGUAGGCGGUUUGUCGCGUCUGCUGUGAAAAUCCGGGGCUCAACUCCGGACUUGCAGUGGGUACGGGCAGGCUAGAGUGUGGUAGGGGAGACUGGAAUUCCUGGUGUAGCGGUGGAAUGCGCAGAUAUCAGGAGGAACACCGGUGGCGAAGGCGGGUCUCUGGGCCUUACCUGACGCUGAGGAGCGAAAGCAUGGGGAGCAAACAGG
rnacentral:rRNA from 1 species